UACGGAGGGUGCUAGCGUUGUUCGGAAUUACUGGGCGUAAAGGGCGCGUAGGCGGCCUUCUCAGUCGGGUGUGAAAGCCCGGGGCUCAACCCCGGAACGGCACCCGAGACGGGAAGGCUGGAGACCGGGAGAGGAGGGUGGAAUAGCCAGUGUAGAGGUGAAAUUCGUAGAUAUUGGCUGGAACACCGGUGGCGAAAGCGGCUCUCUGGCCCGGUUCUGACGCUGAGGCGCGAAAGCGUGGGGAGCAAACAGG
rnacentral:rRNA from 1 species